CUAAUCAGCUGAUCAGGAGCACCUGAGGAAGGAGAGUGAGCGAGUCGAGAGGAUCAAAUGUGGAGAGCGUGAAACAACUUCCAAAUCCUGGAAAUUACAGCACCAAAACACAACAUGUGCUGGUCUUUUUUCCCAGCAGGAUAGUCUCUCCAGGUCUCUGAAAACUCAGAUUAAAAGGUUAAAACAUAACCAGAAUAUUAUCUGAGCCAAAAAGCUGCACUUAAACACACUGUGAAGACGCCAACUAGUUUUCUAAUGAAGACUACGUCUGAUCUAAAGAAGCUGCAGUGGUGAAGAGGUGAUGUGAGAAGAAUCUGUGCUAAACGGGUGGAAUCGUGGACACUCCAGCAGCUGGAGGAGCUUCCCUUUCUUUUUCUCUUUCUGAUUUGCUCAGCUGAACAUCUAAUCAGAGUGAUUUCUCUCAUCAGCCGCUCAUUCUACACGCUCAAUCAGAUAGAAAUUCGAUGACAAGAGCCGACCAGUGCUAAUGGAUUGUUACAAUUAGAGGCCGCAGAGGCUCAUCGACGGCACAAACAUCUGCCGGUUGUCUGAAGUUUCAGGGCUCCUCCUGCUCCUCUGUGUCUGAAGCUGAAGGAUGCAAGAGUUGUUUCUCUUUACGUACAGUAAAAACUACAAUCUGUGGCAUCACUGCCUGGAAGGUUAACCAGCCUGGGAGCAGAUCUGUUGACCUCUGACCUGCUGAUGACUGCGUGUGACAGGUGGAGUCCGAUGCUGAACAAGAACCUCUGGUGUUUGUGCUCAGGUUAGAGGACGGAGACACGGCUGUAUGGAGAAAAACAAUCGAUGAGGUCAGAUCGCAGGUUUGCUCCUCCUGUAGUGAUCUUUCCUCUGACGACCACUUCGAUUACACCGCAGGCAGAAGAAGCUCCAGCUGACGAAACAUGAACCUACAUGACCUGGAGAAAAGGUUCCACCGUGUCGUCACUCUUCACUAUCAGCCCGAGCCGGACGGGCGAUGGAGGCGCGGCGCCUGCAGAUAGCAGCCAGCUGAUCAAUAGAUGACCCACGCAGACAAAAGCAGCUGAAAGCCCGAGGCCGGAUGAAAGGCCUCGUCUGAUCCGGUGACAAUUAGACGACAGCUGGAGUGUCACCGGAAACCUGAGUUACACACGUGCGUGACCAUGAAUGAAGGUCAUGUGGCUUUUAGACCAAUCAGAGGCCACGAUGACAUCGGAGUGAAGAGAGGAGCGUUUAUGUUUCUGUCCUGGAUGAGAACGCUUUUAUUUUAUCAGGUCAGAUCUCUUUUAUCUGCUGUUCAUGUUUGAAGUUUGUGUUUUUGAAGCCAUUUCUGUUCAGAAUUAUUGCAUUUUCAAGUCAUAUUUUAGUUUUAUCUCCCUUGAAAAGAACAUUUUUGGUAAAUCAAGACAUCUUCAACUGCAGUUAGUCUACGUUCAAUUUAUGCAAAAACAGAAAGAGAAUGAGAUUAUUAAAGAUGUUUCCUGUCGUGAGAAAAAUG